rnacentral:rRNA from 1 species
GACGAACGCUGGCGGCGUGCUUAACACAUGCAAGUCGAACGGAAAGGCCUCUUUCGGGGGGUACUCGAGUGGCGAACGGGUGAGUAACACGUGAGUAACCUGCCCUUUACUUUGGGAUAACUUCAGGAAACUGGGGCUAAUACCGGAUAGGAGCUCCUGCUGCAUGGUGGGGGUUGGAAAGUUUCGGCGGGUGGGGGUGGACUCGCGGCUUAUCAGCUUGUUGGUGGGGGAGUGGCCUACCAAGGCCUUGACGGGUAGCCGGGCUGGGAGGGUGACCCGCCACAAUGGGACUGGGAACCGGCCCAGACUCCCAAGGGGGGCAGGAGGGGGGAAUAUUGGACAAUGGGUGGAAGGCUGAUGCAGCAAAGGCGUGGGCGGGAAGACGGGCUUCGGGUUGGAAAACGGCUUCGCUCAGGACGGAGCUUUGUGUGACGGUAGUGGGUAAAGAAGCACCGGCUAACUACGUG